rnacentral:rRNA from 1 species
UGCGAGUCGAGAGGUGAAAGACCUCGGCAUACUGCUCAGUAACACGUGGAUAAUCUGCCCUCAGAAGAAGAAUAAUCCCGGGAAACUGGGGCUGAUGCUUCAUAGGAGACGGGUGCUGGAAUGCUCUGUCUCUGAAAGGUCCGCCGUCUGAGGAUGAGUCUGCGUCCGAUUAGGUUGUUGUUGGGGUAACGGCCCACCAAGCCUUUGAUCGGUACGGGUUGUGGGAGCAAGAGCCCGGAGAUGGAUUCUGAGACAUGAAUCCAGGCCCUACGGGGCGCAGCAGGCGCGAAAACUUUACAAUGCGAGCAAUCGUGAUAAGGAAACCCUGAGUGCCUGUCAACGCAGGCUGUUCUGGUGUCUAACACACACCAGGAGAAAGGGCGGGGCAAGACCGGUGCCAGCCGCCGCGGUAAUACCGGCUGCUCGAGUGAUAGCCACUUUUACUGGGCUUAAAGCGUUCGUAGCUUGGUCGUUAAGUCUCUGGGGAAAUCUUUUGGCUCAACCGAAAGGCGUCUCAGGGAAACUGGCGACCUAGGAACCGGGAGAGGUAAGACGUACUUCGGGGGUAGGAGUGAAAUCUUGUAAUCCCCGAGGGACGACCGAUGGCGAAGGCAUCUUACCAGAACGGCUUCGACAGUGAGGGACGAAAGCUGGGGGAGCAAACCGGAUUAGAUACCCGGGUAGUCCCAGCCGUAAACGAUGUGCGUUAGGUGUGUCAGCGACCACGAGUCGCUGAGGUGCCGAAGGGAAACCGUGAAACGCACCGCCUGGGAAGUACGGUCGCAAGGCUGAAACUUAAAGGAAUUGGCGGGGGAGCACCACAACGGGUGGAGCCUGCGGUUUAAUUGGAUUCAACGCCGGG